rnacentral:rRNA from 1 species
GACGAACGCUGGCGGCGUGCUUAACACAUGCAAGUCGAACGGAAAGGCCCUGCUUUUGUGGGGUGCUCGAGUGGCGAACGGGUGAGUAACACGUGAGUAACCUGCCCUUGACUUUGGGAUAACUUCAGGAAACUAGGGCUAAUACCGGAUAGGAGCUCCUGCUGCAUGGUGGGGGUUGGAAAGUUUCGGCGGUUGGGGAUGGACUCGCGGCUUAUCAGCUUGUUGGUGGGGUAGUGGCUUACCAAGGCUUUGACGGGUAGCCGGCCUGAGAGGGUGACCGGCCACAUUGGGACUGAGAUACGGCCCAGACUCCUACGGGAGGCAGCAGUGGGGAAUAUUGCACAAUGGGCGGAAGCCUGAUGCAGCAACGCCGCGUGCGGGAUGACGGCCUUCGGGUUGUAAACCGCUUUCGCCUGUGACGAAGCGUGAGUGACGGUAAUGGGUAAAGAAGCACCGGCUAACUACGUGCCAGCAGCCGCGGUGAUACGUAGGGUGCGAGCGUUGUCCGGAUUUAUUGGGCGUAAAGGGCUCGUAGGUGGUUGAUCGCGUCGGAAGUGUAAUCUUGGGGCUUAACCCUGAGCGUGCUUUCGAUACGGGUUGACUUGAGGAAGGUAGGGGAGAAUGGAAUUCCUGGUGGAGCGGUGGAAUGCGCAGAUAUCAGGAGGAACACCAGUGGCGAAGGCGGUUCUCUGGGCCUUUCCUGACGCUGAGGAGCGAAAGCGUGGGGAGCGAACAGGCUUAGAUACCCUGGUAGUCCACGCUGUAAACGGUGGGUACUAGGUGUGGGGUCCAUUCCACGGGUUCCGUGCCGUAGCUAACGCUUUAAGUACCCCGCCUGGGGAGUACGGCCGCAAGGCUAAAACUCAAAGGAAUUGACGGGGCCCCGCACAAGCGGCGGAGCAUGCGGAUUAAUUCGAUGCAACGCGUAGAACCUUACCUGGGUUUGACAUGGAUCGGGAGUGCUCAGAGAUGGGUGUGCCUCUUUUGGGGUCGGUUCACAGGUGGUGCAUGGCUGUCGUCAGCUCGUGUCGUGAGAUGUUGGGUUAAGUCCCGCAACGAGCGCAACCCUUGUUCACUGUUGCCAGCACGUUAUGGUGGGGACUCAGUGGAGACCGCCGGGGUCAACUCGGAGGAAGGUGGGGAUGACGUCAAGUCAUCAUGCCCCUUAUGUCCAGGGCUUCACGCAUGCUACAAUGGCUGGUACAGAGAGUGGCGAGCCUGCGAGGGUGAGCGAAUCUCGGAAAGCCGGUCUCAGUUCGGAUUGGGGUCUGCAACUCGACCUCAUGAAGUCGGAGUCGCUAGUAAUCGCAGAUCAGCAACGCUGCGGUGAAUACGUUCCCGGG